rnacentral:rRNA from 1 species
AUGGCGACCGGCGCACGGGUGAGUAACGCGUAUGCAACUUACCUAUCAGAGGGGGAUAGCCCGGCGAAAGUCGGAUUAAUACCCCAUAAACAGGGGUCCCGCAUGGGAAUAUUUGUUAAAGAUUCAUCGCUGAUAGAUAGGCAUGCGUUCCAUUAGGCAGUUGGCGGGGUAACGGCCCACCAAACCGACGAUGGAUAGGGGUUCUGAGAGGAAGGUCCCCCACAUUGGUACUGAGACGCGGACCAA